rnacentral:rRNA from 1 species
ACGGGAGGCAGCAGUGAGGAAUAUUGGUCAAUGGGCGGAAGCCUGAACCAGCCAAGUAGCGUGCAGGAUGACGGCCCUAUGGGUUGUAAACUGCUUUUGUGCGGGGAUAAAACGGGGAAUGCGUUCCCCCUUGUAGGUACCGCAAGAAAAAGGACCGGCUAAUUCCGUGCCAGCAGCCGCGGUAAUACGGAAGGUCCGGGCGUUAUCCGGAUUUAUUGGGUUUAAAGGGAGCGCAGGCGGUCUGUUAAGCGUGUGGCGAAAUGUAGGCGCUCAACGUCUAACGUGCCACGCGAACUGGCGGACUUGAGUGCGGUGAACGCUGGCGGAAUUCGUGGUGUAGCGGUGAAAUGCUUAGAUAUGACGAAGAACUCCGAUUGCGAAGGCAGCCUUCUGGAGUGCGAUUGACGCUGAGGCUCGAAAGCGCGGGUAUCAAACAGGAUUAGAUACCCUGGUA